rnacentral:rRNA from 1 species
UACGUAGGGAGCAAGCGUUGUCCGGAAUCAUUGGGCGUAAAGCGCGCGUAGGUGGCCCGGUAAGUCCGCUCUGAAAGUCAAAGGCUCAACCUUUGAAAGCGGGUGGAUACUGCCAGGCUAGAGUCCGGAAGAGGCGAGUGGAAUUCCUGGUGUAGCGGUGGAAUGCGCAGAUAUCAGGAGGAACACCAACGGCGAAGGCAGCUCGCUGGGACGGUACUGACACUGAGGCGCGAAAGCGUGGGGAGCGAAC